CCUACGGGUGGCAGCAGUGGGGAAUAUUGGGCAAUGGGCGCAAGCCUGACCCAGCAACGCCGCGUGAAGGAAGAAGGCUUUCGGGUUGUAAACUUCUUUUCUCAGGGACGAAGCAAGUGACGGUACCUGAGGAAUAAGCCACGGCUAACUACGUGCCAGCAGCCGCGGUAAUACGUAGGUGGCAAGCGUGAUCCGGAUUUACUGGGUGUAAAGGGCGUGUAGGCGGGAAAGCAAGUCAGAUGUGAAAACCAUGGGCUCAACCUGUGGCCUGCAUUUGAUACUGUUUGGCUUGAGUACUGGAGAGGGAGAUGGAAUUCCAGGUGUAGCGGUGAAAUGCGUAGAGAUUAGGAGGAACACCAGUGGCGAAGGCGGUCUGCUGGACAGAAACUGACGCUGAGGCGCGAAAGCGUGGGGAGCAAACAGGAUUAGAUACCCGAGUAGUC
rnacentral:rRNA from 1 species